GCAGGGCACAGUGGUAUGUGUCUGCAGUCCCAGCUACUUGGGAAGCUGAAACAGGAGGAUUUCUUGAGCCCAGGAAUUCAAGGGCAACCUGGGCAGCAUGGUGAGACUCCAUCUCAA
rnacentral:sRNA from 1 species